rnacentral:rRNA from 1 species
GAUGAACGCUGGCGGCGUGCCUAAUACAUGCAAGUCGAGCGAACAGAUGAUUAGCUUGCUCCUCGGACGUUAGCGGCGGAAGUGUGAGUAACACGUGGAUAACCUACCUAUAAGACUGGGAUAAGUUCGGGAAACCGGAGCUAAUACCGGAUAAGCUAUUUAACCGCAUGGUUCAAUAGUUAAAUACGGUUUUGCGGUCACUUAUAGAUGGAUCCGCGUCGCAUUAGCUAGUUGGUAAGGUAACGGCUUACCAAGGCAACGAUGCGUAGCCGACCUGAGAGGGUGAUCGGCCACACUGGAACUGAGACACGGUCCAGACUCCUGCGGGAGGCAGCAGUAGGGAAUCUUGCGCAAUGGGCGAAAGCUUGACGGAGCAACGCAGCGUGAGUGAUGAAGGUCUUCGGAUCGUAAACCUCUGUUAUUAGGGAAACACAAAUGUGUAAGUAACUAUGCACGUCUUGACGGUACCUAAUCAGAAAGCCACGGCUAACUACGUG